GUGGGGAAUCUUCCGCAAUGGACGAAAGUCUGACGGAGCAACGCCGCGUGAGUGAAGAAGGUUUUCGGAUCGUAAAGCUCUUUCGUUAGGGACGAACGUGCUCUUUGUGAAUAAUGAGGAGUAAUGACGGUACCUAAAUAAGAAGCCACGGCUAACUACGUGCCAGCAGCCGCAGUAAUACGUAGGUGGCAAGCGUUGUCCGGAAUUAUUGGGCGUAAAGCGCGCGCAGGCGGGAUAUCAAGUCUGUCUUAAAAGUGCGAGGCUCAACCUCGUGAGGGGACAGAAACUGGUAUUCUUGAGUGUCGGAGAGGAAAGUGGAAUUCCAAGUGUAGCGGUGAAAUGCGUAGAGAUUUGGAAGAACACCAGGGGCGAAGGCGACUUUCUGGACGAUGUCUGACGCUGAGGCGCGAAAGCUAGGGGAGCGAACGGGAUUAGAAACCCCGGUAGUCC
rnacentral:rRNA from 1 species